GGUGGUGUGUUGCUCAGCCCGUUUUUGAUUUACGUGGUGUUGGCCCUGGUGCUGACCGCGGCCGUGCGCCUGCUGCUGCGCCUGACCCCGUUGGGGCGUUGGGUCUGGCAUGAGGCGUUGUUCGAUUGCGCAUUG
rnacentral:sRNA from 1 species